GCUGAACUUAAGCAUAUCAAA
rnacentral:rRNA from 2 species